ensembl:snRNA U6 U6 spliceosomal RNA
GUGCUCACUUCAGCAGCACACAUAUUAAAAUAGGAACGAUACAGAGAAGAUUAGCAUGGCCCCUGCAUGAGGAUGACAUGCAAAUUUAUGAAGACGUCCUUAUUUUA